UGCGUAGGGUGCAAGCGUUAAUCGGAAUUACUGGGCGUAAAGCGUGCGCAGGCGGUUGUGCAAGACAGAUGUGAAAUCCCCGGGCUCAACCUGGGAACUGCAUUUGUGACUGCACGGCUGGAGUGCGGCAGAGGGGGAUGGAAUUCCGCGUGUAGCAGUGAAAUGCGUAGAUAUGCGGAGGAACACCGAUGGCGAAGGCAAUCCCCUGGGCCUGCACUGACGCUCAUGCACGAAAGCGUGGGGAGCAAACAGG
rnacentral:rRNA from 1 species